rnacentral:lncRNA from 1 species
UUCAACUAGUUACAUAAACAAUCAGACAAUAAGCAUGCUUUUAUUGAGUAUUUGGACAUCCAUUGAAGAAAAUAAAUUAUAUUAUAUUUAUACCAGCAACAUCCAUUGGAGUAACUGGUAAAGUUGCUGUCAUGUUGCUGCCAUAUGACCAGGAGGUCACGGGUUCGAGCCCAUCGAAAAUUGAAGUUGUAUUUGGUCAUGAAUAAAUUGGAGUUAAAUUGUGAGUAAUUUGGAGCGGAAAAAAAAAGAGUAAAAACAACUUUUUGGUAACAACAACAUACCCAGCGUAAUCCCACCAAGUGGGGUCUUGGGAAAGCAAAAAGCAAAAUGUAUGCAGAUUGUACCACUACCUCAGAGGUAGUAGAGAGGUUAUUUUGAAUAGACCCUCAACUCAAGAAUAAACCAUCCAAAGCAAUACAUAUAGAGCAAAAUAACUGGAGCAAAGAAAGUCAUACUUAAAUGAUAAGGUGUGCAAGUUUUGUAACUGUUCAAUCACCAAGUAUUUAUCAGAGUAAAAACAACUUUUUGGUAACAACAACAUACCCAGCGUAAUCUUACCAAGUGGGGUCUUGGGAAAGCAAAAAGCAAAAUGUAUGCAGAUUGUACCACUACCUCAGAGAUAGUAGAGAGUUAUUUUGAAUAGACCCUGAACUCAAGAAUAAACCAUCCAAAGCAAUACAUAUAGAGCAAAAUCACUGGAGCAAAGAAAGUCAUACUUAAACGAUAAGGUGUGCAAGUUUUGUAACUGUUCAAUCACCAAGUAUUUAUCAAAACAUACCUCAAACUAUCAGUUGUUUCCUUUUCAUACUUGAAAUAUCACCAUCGUUCAGGUAGAAACAAUUGAUAGCUAAUGUGGGAGCAAUUGAGAAAUAGUUGGUGAUUGCACAGGUAUGAAACUCGCACAACUAAUAGCUCAAGUAUGAAACUCGAAAAAUUGAAUACUUUGGUUGUGUUUUGACCUUUUGGUUUAAAUCUUUUAACAUAUAUCAGUUGUUUACAUAAAAAUUACUGUAUUCACAUGAACUCGUAAUGGACCCUCUAAAUCCACCCCGAUCUGUAACAACAAAAGCUGUACAUGCAUAAAAACCAUGAAGUGAAAGAAGAAAAAAAUUACCACAAGGAUUCCCUAAGAGAAGGGCUGAAAGCUGGUACUGUUUGUGGUGUGAAAAUCGAGAAAAAACUUUGGUGAUGAGGAAGAUCUGGUAGUGAAAGAAGCUGAUGAAGAGUAGUUGAGGAACAGGUAUGAAACUCGCACAACUAAUAGCUCAAGUAUGAAACUCGAAAAAUUGAAUACUUUGGUUGUGUUUUGAACUUUUGGUUUAAAUCUUUUAACAUAUAUCAGUUGUUUACAUAAAAAUUACUGUAUUCACAUGAACUGGUAAUGGACCCUCUAAAUCCACCCCGAUCUGUAACAACAAAAGCUGCACAUGUAUAAAAACCAUGAAGUGAAAGAAGAAAAAAAUUACCAC